rnacentral:rRNA from 1 species
AGCGAACGCUGGCGGCAGGCCUAACACAUGCAAGUCGAACGAACCUUUCGGGGUUAGUGGCGGACGGGUGAGUAACACGUGGGAACGUGCCUUUAGGUUCGGAAUAACUCAGGGAAACUUGUGCUAAUACCGAAUGUGCCCUUCGGGGGAAAGAUUUAUCGCCUUUAGUGCGGCCCGCGUCUGAUUAGCUAGUUGGUUGAGUUAAUGGCUCACCAAGGCGACGAUCAGUAGCUGGUCUGAGAGGAGGAUCAGCGACAUUGGGACUGAGACACGGCCCAAAAUCCUACGGGAGGGAGCAGUGGGGAAUCUUGCGAAAUGGGCGAAAGCCUGACGCAGCCAUGCCGCGUGAAUGAUGAAGGUCUUAGGAUUGUAAAAUUCUUUCAACGGGGACGAUAAUGACGGUACCCGGAGAAGAAGCCCCGGCUAACUUCGUG